rfam:Triticum aestivum genome assembly, contig: Triticum_aestivum_CS42_TGACv1_scaffold_195119_3AL
CGCCCUCUCCCUCCGUUCCGAAUUAAUUGUCGCAGGUAUGGAUGUAUCUAGAUGUAUUUUAGUUCUAGAUACAUCCAUUUCUUCGAUAAGUAAUUUGGAAUGGAGGGAGUUGUUG